AUUGAACGCUGGCGGCAGGCCUAACACAUGCAAGUCGAACGAGUGGCGGACGGGUGAGUAAUGUCUGGGAAACUGCCUGAUGGAGGGGGAUAACUACUGGAAACGGUAGCUAAUACCGCAUACCAUCAGAUGUGCCCAGAUGGGAUUAGCUUGUUGGUGGGGUAACGGCGCACACAGGCGACUAGCCCUAGCUGGGCUGAGCGGAGAACAAGCCACACUGAAACUGAGCAACGGUCCAGACGCGUACGUGAGGCAGCAGUGGGGAAUAUUGAACAAUGGGCGCAAGCCUGAUGCAGCCAUGCGGAGUGUAUGAAGAAGGCCUUCGGGUUGUAAAGUACUUUAAGCGGGGAGGCGUUACCCGCAGAAGAAGCACCGGAAAACUCCGUGCCAGCAGCCGCGGUAAUAC
rnacentral:rRNA from 1 species